CCUACGGUGGGCAGCAGUGGGGAAUAUUUCACAAUGGGGGCAACCCUGAUGCAGCGACGCCGCGUGAGUGAAGAAGUAUUUCGGUACGUAAAGCCCUAUCAGCAGGGAAGAAAAUGACGGUCCCUGACUAAGAAGCCCCGGCUAACUACGAGCCACCACCCGCGGGCAUACGUAGGGGGCAAGCGUUAUCCGUAUUCACUGGGUGUAAAGGGAGCGUAGUCGGCAGCGCAAGUGUGGAGUGAAAUCCCAUGGCUCAACCAUGGAACUGCUUUGGAAACUGUGGAGCUAGAGUGAAGGAGAGGUAAGCGGAAUUCCGAGUGUAGCGGUGAAAUGCGUAGAUAUUAGGAGGAACACCAGUGGCGAAGGCGGCUUACUGGACUGUAACUGACGUUGAGGCUCGAAAGCGUGGGGAGCGAACAGGAGUAGAUACCCCGGUAGUC
rnacentral:rRNA from 1 species